GCGGGAGGGGGCGAGGUGCGGGGUCCUUCUGGUGCGGAAAGCGGCCCCUCGGGGCUGCGGGCAGGUAGCGGGCGCUGCGCCUCGCACGUGUCGGCUGCAGAAUGGAAUUUCUUCCACGAGUUUUGCGGUUCGGUUUCGAAGGAGCCAAAGGAAAGUCUGAGGAACCCUGUCACGGUCCCAAGAGGCUGCCCUCAAGAGCUGCUCUCCUCAUGAUGCCGCAGGCUGGACUGGGUUGUGUGGAUCAAGCUGCAGGCCCUUGAGCCAUCUUUAGAAUGCACGUUAGAUGGGAAGCCCUCAGGGUACCAACAGCUGAAGAGUUACCUUGCUGCAGUCCCAGUAAUGCUGUUCUACAACUCACGCUGUACAAAUUGUGUUUCCAUGGCAUGAACUGCCGCUUCACUCUUUGUCGUUAUCGUUAACCACCGCAACCUCUGGGUCUCUGCUCUCAUAAACAAGCCUGCUAACACAAGCGGAGGAGAACAAAAACAGAAGGGGGAAACUCAGUCUUUUCUGAGAAAUUACAGAAUUACCAUUCAGCCCUAGAAUCAGCAAAGUACCCUGCGUUCAGGUGGCAGGAAUGGACAUGGCAGUCAUCUGAAUCAUGUUUAGAAAUGAAGAAACAUUAGGUUCCACGUGCACAACAUGAAGAGAUAACAAAAGUUUUUGGGUUCAAGAAUUUCUAGAAAAAAAAAAGAAUACUGUAUUAUUUUCAUACACAAAGGACCUUUGUUUCUCUCUUAAAUUUGCUGUCAAAGAGAGACUCCUCAAAGUCAGUUCGGAAAACAACGGUGCUCCAUUACCCCAGUGGAAUUUAUAAGCUAGAUAGGAAACUUGAAACUCAAAAUACUAUGAAACCCUAGGAAAUUAAAUGCAAUGCUGUCUGGCAAGGGCCUGAGCAGUUCAGAGGAAGAAGGACUGUCAAAAAGGGGAACUAAUACUGCUGUUACCUGGUUUUAACAUGUAAUAUAGAAAUUCAGAGUUUCCUCAUUGCAGUGAGGCUUGGCAUGAAACAACGCAGAAUUUAACAGAAAAACAUACCCUGCUUGGUCUCCUGGAGUCAGUCUUCCAAUCAAGUGUGAAGCAUGUGAUCGUGUAUUUGGUGAAUGUCUGUUAAAUAAAAUAUGAUGACCUUUGAAGUGGAAAAUAUAUUAAUAAACAAAAAAGCUGUUGCAGUAAUCGUUGUAGCUGGACGUUAUUUAGCAGGCAAGACAGCGAACAGCCCCGCUGAAGAAUAGAGCAUGGCACAGCUCUUUUGAGAGGGAUAGCAUGUCACACCUACAUUGGUGUCAUCGUAUAACGACUAAAAGGUAGUGAAAAGCAUUGCUGAAUAUGCAUCUGUCAGUGGCUAAAAGAAGGUAUUGUCAGUACCCAAGGAAAAAGAGAAAUCAAUCUGCUGUUAAAGUCUAGAUAGGAAGAAAAGGAGGCACCAUCACAAUGUGCCUUAAAAUGACAGAAGAAAAGAUGCUACCUCAAAUUUGGUUUAAAUAGUCCAGCAAGAACCAGCAGUUGGAAUCAGAGAGAUUUAAUACUCUGUCCUGUAAGCAAUGAACUUUUUACGCCUUGGCACAAAAAACUGCGCAUGUUAUCAAUGAAGAGAAACGAAUUACAUGCCAGAAUGUUGCUUGGUAUGUAGUAGCUCGUAAGUUUUUCUGAUGAAAACUAAUUAUUAAAAAAGCCCUUUGUUCAUGUUAAUGUUAACAUUUACAGUAUGGUAAAGGAAGAAAAAAAUAAAUAUUAACAGCUGAAUUGCCAUUAACAUUUCCAAUGCAGUAGUGCUUGCAUGCAGUGCAGUUGCUUUCUCUGCAAUAUGUAAGGGGCCUAAGGCAGCCCCUCAGUUCCACUGUUAGCAUCCCGAGUAGUGGUAUGUGGAGACGAUCUGGCUGCCCUGAACAAAUCUGUCCACAUGGGUCAGAGCAAGCUGAGCAUGGGGAUUUGCCUCAUACUUCCUCUGGGCAUGAAUGGUGUGUCAUGGAAAGCAUCUUCACCAUACUGAGAGCUGAUGCAAUCCACUCCCUCAUGGGACCAACAGGGAGACUGCCCAGGAGGUUCAGGCUCUCUGAGCUCAGGUUAUUAAUUGACUAUUAGCUUUUCCUCUCCGAAAUUUAAAAAUGCCUGAACAAUGUUCUUAUUAAAUUUACAAAUCUUAAUCUAAAAUCUUUCCGCUUUGGUAUUCACAUGACUAGUGACACCCAUCUGAAUUAAAUUAUCUUCAUGAAUUAAAGGAGCAGAAUUGGAUCAUUAUUUCUGUGCGACUCAUUAGAGUUUAGGUUAAGAAUAUCUAUAAAUAAUAAUGUUUCUGCAGUUUAAAAUGAGGUGCGUGGUUUCUGAACACCUCUGAAGUGAGGCCACUCUGGUGCAAACUGUAAGCAAUCUAAUUUGACAUUUCUAACUUCACAAUCUAAUUUUCUCCUAGAAGAGAAUAAUGAAUUAUGCAAAAAAUUUGAAAUGAAUUCCAGUAUAUGCUUCAAAGCAGCACAUAUGCCAUUUUGAAAGCCAUUCAGACUUUUUCUAAAGCAUUCUUUUAAGUUUUGGAAAACUUGUUGAGAAAAUACUACAUUGUUUCGUCUUUAACCAAGGAAAAGAAUUAGCACAGUAAAUUGAAAGCAAUUUAUGAGAGUCAAGCAAAAGAUGUGAUAUAAAAUCCCAAGGAAAUCACAUGAUUUCCAUUCACAUACUUUCAUUAUCUUUGUACUAACAGAGAACAAACCGCUUUAUUUCCCAAGAUAUCCUCUUAUGAUAACUCUUAAAAGAGAGAGUGCACACUUGUUUUCGACCAAAGGUAAAAGUAGUUGCCUUUCUGAUACCAAUCUUUUUGGAAAAAAUAAAGAUUGGAGGAAGUCCUUCAAUGCAGGAUGUCAAAUUAUUGGAUCCCAACGGUCCUUCAGGCUUGAGUAGUUCUGUAUUUACUUUUCUGCAGAAUCAGAACAGGGUGGGUGCACAGCACUAAUGAAAGUGCUUCACUUCCUUCACUUAGUGGCAGCUUCUUUCUAAAAAAUGGAGAGAUAACGCUUUCCCCAAGUAGGAAAAGAAUUAACAUAGCUGCAAACAGUUUUUUAGUUUCUAUAACUGUACUCAAAAAAUGGAAAAUGAAAAUAAAAAUACAAAUACUUGGCCCGUACUUACAAUCCAGUUAUACACAACAAUUGAUGGAAUCCCAGAAAGUGCAGUUAGUGUUCACAUACGUCUAUGAUGAGAUUUAAAGUGCCUAUAUGUUAAAUAUGUAUCCUGCUGAUGGGUUCUCUAUAAAUGCGUGAGAGAUUUAUUAUUUAUAUCACUCCAGGACUGUACUAGAUUCUGUUCAGUAAAAAGCAGGACAGUGUGUUUCCUUCCUCAAAGAAUAUAAUACUCCACUUAAACAAACUGAGGGGAUUCUGUGCCUUUAAAUUUGAAACAUGCUGUUUUAUGGGGUUGGAUUGGUAUGCAAAAUGUAACGUAGUCGUAACUUUUAAGGUUUGUGACGUAUUAUGUAUGGUUGAAGCUGUUAUAUCUAUUCCUAUAUACAUUCAAUUAAAUAACUCAUCUUCAGUGAUGUAUUCUAGCGUACUCCUGGGAACAAAUCCAAUGUCUUUAGCUAUCUAUUUUACAUGAAAGCAAUUAUUGUAAUAUCUCUAAUGUCUAAGUGGUAUUGUCAUGAGUGCCAUUUUAGCAUGGUCCGAAGUAUUUAUUUAUGUGAGUUUAUCUAUCUACUCUUCAAAUUUAUGAUGCUUUCAAGAAUAUCCACAGAGUCACAUUAGCAUUUUUGAAUCCCACAGCCAAAUGUUCAAGCAGAAUUGAAUAUGACAUAAAUAAUCAGAGCUCUCGUCUUCUGUUUAUGUAAAAUGACCUCUUGCUGGUGCUUAACCUUUCCCUUUUCUCAUCCUGAGUUCCCUGUGGCGGCCUAUGUGAGUUAUUUCUUCUAAUUCUCUGCUUCUCCCUUGUGCUGUGUGAUGCUAGUUCAGAACUGCUAUAGACUACAAUCAUUGUCUUGAAAUCUCUGGGAAUGCGAAUGUUAUAGCAAUCUGCACAAGAAAAGUUCUGUCUCAUGUUACUGCAGAUUUCCAUAAUCUUACAGCAAUAGUAAAAUGUGCCCACGAGCACUGAGUGCUCAGCUGUGCCACUGUUUGACUUAGUGCAGUUCUCCUUUGUACAGUUCUGCUUUUCCAGAGGUGCAGUGAGGAUAACUGUCUAUUCCAGAGAAGUGUUUAGGCCUUGUGCAUUGAUGUGGUGCUUAAUGUUAUAAAACACUAUGUCAUUUUCAUAAAUCAUUUUUAGCAAAGCCUAACUUCCUUUUUGCACAGAAAGUGCUAUUUUUCUGUAAAAUUCCAAACAACUGGGAGGUAGCUAAGCAUCCUUAUCAAUACUGUUGUCAUUGUCAUGGAUUAAUAGCAGUGGCUCACUUCUGCUAGUUGACUUUGUAUUUAACAGGCUCUGUGAGCUCUUCAACUUUAAUUUAGUGAUACUUUGAACUCACUUCAUAAGAGGAAAAUAGACAAAAUGGAAUGGCAUGGCAAAACACAUACUUGCCUGUGAAACACAGGAAUGGGAGGUAUGCAGUGAUUCAGUGGUAGAGUUUGGCGGGAUGACCUGUUUUUUUUUCAUUUGGGUGACGUUACUGUAUGUUUCAUGAGGAACUUGCCAAUGAAGAGUUAAAGAUUAUGUGUUGGGGUCUGUCUUGUUAAGGAAGUCCCAGGAUAAUUGUAAGCUUUCCACAUGAGAAGUGUGCUGUUUCCAAGAGAGAACAAUACCUACUACUAGGACUAUGGGGAAGCAGUGGUGAGACUGUAUUGGUGGAUGGAUGCCUGCAUGAGUAGCGUAUUAAAGGCUGACUGUAGCUAGACUGAAUACCUUCUGUAUUUCUCUUGUCACCUGCCAGCAUGGACAUUGCAUGCCACAGCCACUGCAGUAUAAAAUCCCUCGAUGCCUUUUUAUUUUCAUUCCGACCUCUAAGAAAGAACAAUUAUCCCACUACUAACACUUCUUUGCCCCUGUGUUUUGGAUGAGCGGGACACAUUAUUUGUUAAAGAUCUUAAAACCUGGAGACCUCAUGUAGGAGUGGAAAAAUGGGCAGUUAGCCUUUCUUCCUACAGAAAUCUGGAGCUGAAUCAGACUUACUGACUCAGUAUCAAUAGGAAAUACACUUCUGUUGGCUCCUUUUAUUAUCAAAAAUGUUGUAAGAAUAUUUUCAUUCUGUAUGCAAUGUGUAUUAUAAAUAAUAAAUGUUUUAUCUCCGAUUUCAUGCAAGAUCGUACAGCUGAAUUACAGAUUUGUUUGCUUUUAUUUUCCUAAUAUCUGUGAGAUAAAUUCUUAAUUCUAGUCUGCAGUGAGAAUGUCUUGAAUUAAGCUUCAUUGGGCUGGUGGCGAUGGAGAUUUUCAACUAAAACAAUAUUAAACACACAAGGGGGUCAACAUUAUAUGGUGAUGUAUUUUAACAGAAUGGAAACUAUUAUUUAUUUAGUGUUGCUGGAGGGGCUCAAAUGGUAUGAAUAAACAGAAGGGAAGACAAAGACGAAGAGAAGUCUACAAAGCUAGUUUAAGCAUAUUUGUAAUCUCUGCAAAAUUCAGAUGAAAAGUGAAAGGUUUGCUUUAUAAUAUUCAUAUCCACUUGUCCAAAGUCCUGAACUAGAAUAAAAAAUGAGGAUUUGUCAGCACAUUCAGCAAGGCUGAGUAUGUUAUUGUGUAUUGUAUGUAAAGCAUUGUAGAAUUUCUCAUUUAAAUGAAGUCGAAGAAGUUACCAAAGAGUUUAAUGAAAAAAAAAAAAAAAGCAGCUGAAACAACAGCAAGCUCCACCCAAAAUAAAUAUAUUGGCAUGUAUCAGCAGGGGAAUUUGUUGGGUAUUGCUUAGUUCUUGUUUACUUGUCUUCACAAAAGGAGGCAGAAAUAUCACUCAGAUUAAUAAAUAUGGAAUAGAGCAUACCCAGAGAUGUCUGAUACCUGAGAAAAAGCUGAGAAAAAGACUUUGAUGCAAGUUUUGGAUGGGAGAGAUUUAAGGUUGGGAGAUGUAGAACUGUGUACUUCUUUUCCUUAUGUUUAGAGAAAGAAAAUGUGGUUGUAAAUAAAGGAAAGAAAUACAGCAAUUGCCCCAACAUCAGAUCCUCAUUCUUGCUGGAACAACCCACCUGGAACCAAGAAAACUGUCUAGCCUUUGGAUCAAAAGGCAAUGAUAGUGUGGGCUUGAAAGCAGGGGAUAGGAAACUUUAACAGGAUCCAGAAGAAAACUGCAGUAUGCCAGGAUGUCUCUUCUCCCAAGGUUCAUUCCAUCACCACAGAGUUUGGAGUCAGUUGAUUGUUACUCAUAAACUACAUUGUUUCUUAGCACUGGAGUCUGAGCAAUGGCAAAGCACUAACCACAUCUCAGCCUGUCGUUUUGGAGGCAGCCCUGACUACUUACCAUAGAAU